rfam:Gossypium raimondii Chr03_contig_987, whole genome shotgun sequence.
UGUUAAAAAUUUUACUCAUUUGUACUAUUAAAAAAUAAACAUAGUUGAUGAAAUAACUAGAUAGUUACACGUGGCAUGCCACAUAUACUUCAUGCUGAAGUACUAGGAACAGUUUUUAACCGUAUAAAUAAAAGAAAUUUUUGGUA